GGCUUACCACGACGUCUUAUAGCAGGACCUAAAUUGAACUGCACUGCUUUUUCGUACCAUGACAUCAAUUAUAAGCAGGCCUGCGGCAGGUCUGCUCAGUAAACCGUUCACCAUUUUUUUUGUAUAGAGUUUUCCUACCACAACGGCCACUUUUGACAGCAGGAAUUGUUUCUUGCUCGUCGCAAAUGUCAAAUAAAGCGAUUGUUAAAAAGUUACUUUCAGGUAGCUUCUUUGGACAUUUUGGCGUUGUUUUGUAAGAUAUUCACCAAAUGUUCCGUGUUUGUUUCCUAAGGAUUUGUAGGAUAAAGGGCAUUAAAAUACAUGCAAAGCUAUUGUUUAAUAAGAAUUUGAUUAAAUACCUAUGAAUUUUUCAAAAAAGUUAAAUCUACAGAAGAGUAAGUUGUGUAAACAUUAAUAACACCCCUAACAUUAUUGCAAAGAUGUGUGACGAGUAUGAACUGUUUGAGUUUUUGGAAAGUGAUUUCAACGAAUCCAGAAUGGCAAAUAAAAAGAAACGUUUAAGGAACAGAGAAAAUAAUGAUCCUUUUGACUUAGAUGAAAAUGCUUUCAUCAAGGAGUGCAGAUUUGUGAUGCAGAUCAACAAAUUCUAAGUGUUGAUGCGAGUCAUCCAGGGUCAUUUCAUGACUCAUUUAUAUGGAGCCACCAUCCUGUACGUUACCAUUUGGAAAAUUUAGGGUCUGAAGCAACAUGGCUUUUAGGUGACUCUGGGUACUCACAAUGAAGAACGAUGAUGACACCUAUUUUGGAUGCAGAACCGUCUGGUUAUAUGU